rnacentral:tRNA from 1 species
GCAGGGGUCGCCAAGUCUGGUCAAAGGCGCCGGACUCAAGAUCCGGUCCAUAGUUGGUUCGUGGGUUCAAAUCCCACCCCCUGCA